AGUGAACGCUGGCGGUAGGCCUAACACAUGCAAGUCGAACGGCAGCACAGGAGAGCUUGCUCUCUGGGUGGCGAGUGGCGGACGGGUGAGGAAUACAUCGGAAUCUACUUUUUCGUGGGGGAUAACGUAGGGAAACUUACGCUAAUACCGCAUACGACGUACGGGUGAAAGCAGGGGAUCCGCGGACCUUGCGCGAUUGAAUGAGCCGAUGUCGGAUUAGCUAGUUGGCGGGGUAAAGGCCCACCAAGGCGACGACCCGUAGCUGGUCUGAGAGGAUGAUCAGCCACACUGGAACUGAGACACGGUCCAGACUCCUACGGGAGGCAGCAGUGGGGAAUAUUGGACAAUGGGCGCAAGCCUGAUCCAGCCAUACCGCGUGGGUGAAGAAGGCCUUCGGGUUGUAAAGCCCUUUUGUUGGGAAAGAAAUCCAGCUGGUUAAUACCCGGUUGGGAUGACGGUACCCAAAGAAUAAGCACCGGCUAACUUCGUGCCAGCCGCCGCAGUAA
rnacentral:rRNA from 1 species